UUGUGCAUGGGCGAAAGCCUGNCACAGCAGCGCCGCGUGGGGGAAGGAGGCCUUCGGGUUGUAAACCCCUUUUCUCAGGGAAGAAUAAUGACGGUACCUGAGGAAUAAGCCUCGGCUAACUACGUGCCAGCAGCCGCGGUAAUACGUAGGAGGCGAGCGUUAUCCGGAAUUACUNGGGCGUAAAGCGGACGUAGGCGGUUCGGCAAGUCGGAUGUGAAAUCUCUCGGCUUAACUGGGAGAAGCCAUCCGGGACUGCCAGACUAGAGGGCAGCAGAGGGAGGUGGAAUUCCCGGUGUAGUGGUGAAAUGCGUAGAUAUCGGGAGGAACACCAGUGGCGAAAGCGUCCUCCUAGGCUGUUCCUGACGCUCAGGUCCGAAAGCGUGGGGAGCAAACAGGAUUAGAUACCCUGGUAGUCCACGCUGUAAACAUUGGACACUAGGUACAGGGAGUAUCGACCCUUUCUGCGCCGAAGCUAACGCGUUAAGUGUCCCGCCUGGGGACUACGGUCGCAAGACUAAAACUCAAAGGAAUUGACGGA
rnacentral:rRNA from 1 species